GAGAUUGAUCCAAACACAGAACCAACCUUUAUUUUGAGAAUCUGAAUAAGAGCAAUGGUUUGAGAUUAGAUUUAGACUUGGGUGGCUUUAUGAAUGGUUGAAACUGAAGAUGAAAAAGGAUGUAUUUUUAUAUGCUGGGAUCAGCAUUAUCUUUGGUUUUAUUGCAGACAUAAUCGAAGGGAAUUAGACCCUCUAUUUUUAAAUCAAACAAUUGAUUAAGUUAUUUUAGAAUCAAACAACCCCAAAUUUUAGCAUCAGAAAUGCACUUACAUUUCUAAUAUAUAUUAGAAUAUUUUCUGAUGAGUUUUCUGAGUUUUAAAACCUUGUUUGGUUCUGUGUGUUUGAGUGUUUGCUCUGGUCUUGUGUCUGAAGUCAAGUCAAUGUUCUGCUGGACUUAAAAACCAAUUUGGGAACAAGUGGUAAUUUGGACACAGACUCUGUGGAAUGUCAAGAAGUCUACUUGCCAUAUCAACACAUUUGGCCCUUGAACAACGCUCCUUUUUAUUUUACAUUUCUUGUCUUUGUGGGUUUUUAUUACCACUGUGCAACCACAGCACUGCAUCCAACAGACACUUGAAAUGGUGCUACCUGAAACAGCAACAACAAACCCAUCCACAACGCAGCUCAAACGCUUGUACAACCAACGAUCCUUGUCUGCCGUGUCAUACAGGACGUUUCCAUCCGAACGAAUGGAGGAGAAACAAAAACAUGCAUCAUAUGCAUUCCCAUGGAACGUGGGCGGUGCUCGGUGUGGAAAUCAAUCUUCAAAUGUGUUUUUACAACAACGCAGCUACCACAACAAGCUAUCCUGCACCUGCCUACCUUAUAGCUGUUUAUAGAAACAAAUCGGCACAAUUUAAAAAGAAGGAAUAGCAAGGAUCUUUGGACUAUAGAGACAACAUCCAUCCUUUCUCUAUCUAGCCGUAACAAGCAAUAACCGUUUCUAGUAUUUUUGUUUAUUUGAAAUUUCGACCAUUUGACCUCCUGUUUUCCCCCCCUCUCUUUUCCAAGGCAACAGACCUGUGGCCGUCCAAAAAAAGCUCAUUCAACUUGCUUAGUUUUUUGUACAUAAUUAGAUAGCUUACAAAUAGCUUAAUAAAUUAACGAUGAAAAAAAGGAGUGUAAAAAAAAAAGUUUGACAACUUGUGUAUAGAAAAAAACCUAUUGCCUCUGUUGCUGUUUUUGACCUUGUGUUUUUGUGCAUUUUAAAUUAUAUUUUUGAAAAGAUUUAUUCUACUUCUCUCAGAGUGUGACUGGCAAGCGGUCAGUCAGUCGUCCACGUGGCAUGAAUUGGACAGUAAUUGCUUUGUUCAUUUUGCUGGUUGAAACGUUCAAAGGUUACCAUUCUGUAGCUGUCCCCCAUCAACCCCAAGAGAAACGUUCAAAGGUUACCAUUCUGUAGCUGUCCCCCAUCAACCCCAAGAGAAACGUUCAAAGGUUACCAUUCUGUAGCUGUCCCCCAUCAACCCCAAGAGAAGUUCCACUUCAUAGUACUUAACUUCAAGUUCAAGACACAACAACAAGAGAACAACAACUAUAUGGCUGUAAUACAAAAUGGCCGCCACCCCAGGACAUCUUCUGUUCAUAAAUACAGAGUUUGUGUGGCACUCUUAUUUAUUCAAACUUGUUUGUUUCUUACUUUUAUUUUGAAAACUCCUAUAUGGCAUUCCACUGGUGGUAUCUCGUGAGCUGUGGUGGAACUCGAGUCUGAAGUGACAGCACCAAGGUGUAUGAUGAUGUCAUUGACUGUGUAUGUACAUCCUUAGCCCUUGUUACUGAAGCGAGCCCAACUUGCACUUUGAAAAGUCUGGUUUUCCACUGGUAUUCACAUAUCUCUUCAUAUGAAAGAACAAUCCCACCCUGACCCUUGAGUUUUUGAAGUUUAUAUAUUUAUUAGCCUAUUUCUCCAUCCCUCACAGAACCAACACAGAUUGAGAAAAAAAAUGAAAAAAGUUAACUUAUUUGGUUUCUGUCUUAUCUUAUUACUCUUCCUAUUUUUUAAUGAUUUUAUCCCUUAUUUUAAGAUUUAAUGUUUAAAAGUGAAACAAUUGUUGUUUCCCAAAUGGCACCCUAUUCCCUACAUAGUGCACUACGUUUGACCAUACUCUGUCAAAAGUAGAGCACUAAGUAGGGAAUAGGGUGCCAUUUAGGAAACAGACCAUGGUGAAUCGUAGUGAAGUCAUACCAGGCUAAUGUUGUUUUGUUAGACGGACACUUGAAAUGUCCCCAAGCUGCUCCCAGUACUGAGCCUUGCCUCUCAUGCAUCCACGGUCGAGUUCCAAACUGACCCCAAGCUGCUCCCAGUACUGAGCCUUGCCUCUCAUGCAUCCACGGUCGAGUUCCAAACUGACCCCAAGCUGCUCCCAGUACUGAGCCUUGCCUCUCAUGCAUCCACGGUCGAGUUCCAAACUGACCCCAGGCUGUAUGGUCAUCUUCUCCUUCUCUGAUAGGCUGGGUGGAGUUUUUGUCCUAACGGUUUACACCUAUCCAAUAAUCCUAGAAUUUGCUAGGAGGGGAUGGGGGUGUAGGGUCAAGGGGUUGAUUUUGGACUCAGCCUACAAUAGCCAAGUCUAAUGGGCAAAUACUGAGCCAGCUACUAUACAAAAUGGGGGCUAACUAACUAACUCCACACUCUAGUAGGAAGACAAGUAGUAGUCUUUACUAGAUUAUGUUUUAGUCAACAAAAUGUGUCUUACAUUUACAAAAGCCUCAGAUUAAUAUUAUUGAGAUCAAAAACCUAUGGUUUCAACGAAGGACAUCAUUCAAGGUGUAAAGUUAAGAGUGUAAUCUUGAGGGAUUUCAUGAUCUCCUCAAAUUUGGAUGGUUCACUGACUAUGGUGCUUUCUCGAUAGAAACAAGCCAAACGACCUCAGAACACCAACAGUGUCCUCUUCUCUUUCACAGGGGGCAGAUUACUUCACUCUCCUUCAUUUACACUUUUAUCUUCUAGCGCUUUUUUUUGUCGUUUUUUGAACCUGCACUAUGAGAAAAAAGGGCCCAUAUUUAAUGAAAAACGGUGUUUUUCCCCAAUCCCCUCUCUCUUUUGUGUGUGUUGUCUGGUGUCCUUAGUGCGGCCAUAUAAGUGAUACCUGCUUUUGCCUGUGUAUGGCUAGCAGUAUGUUGUUUUAUCCAGAUUUGGGGGUCUAUUCUAACUCAGUUCCAAUCUGUUCAGUUCAAGAUGGGAAUUUCUUACCUGGUAUCCAAACUGAAUUCACAUUCCAUUUUGCAGAUGGAAUUUAGAUGGAAUUGACCUCCACCCUGAAUAAUGUCACUCCAGUGUGCUAGGUAUUGGUCUUAUAGACAAUGACUCGGAGGGGGGGAACGAAUAGCCUGGGACCCAGAUCUGUUUGUGCUGUCUUUCCAACUCCUGUGGUCAUUCUGGUCAAGACAGCACAAACAGAUCUGGGAACCAGGUUAAGGCAGAAUGAAUGGGUAAAAGUAGAUACAACUAUUCCCACCUCCAAACAGGACAGACCUAGCCUGGGUUAAACUAGGCUGAAUGCUGUGAUACAAGUUAGCGUAGCAUUCAGUCUGGUUUAACCAGGCUAUAGGAGAGACUAUAGUCCCCUUGUUGUUCAGAUGAACUCUGUGGCCAUCAAUCCUUUGUAGAACAUGCUCUCUGAUGAUGAUGAUUCUCGCUGUGUAAGUUUGAAAAUGCAAUACUUACAAUAAAACACCAAGAUUUUCAAACCGGAA